GCCUACGGGAGGCAGCAGUGAGGAAUAUUGGUCAAUGGGCGGGAGCCUGAACCAGCCAAGUCGCGUGAAAGAAGAAGGUACUUAGUAUUGUAAACUUCUUUUGUCGGGGAACAAAGGCGGAGACGCGUCUCCGGAUGAGUGUACCCGAAGAAAAAGCAUCGGCUAACUCCGUGCCAGCAGCCGCGGUAAUACGGAGGAUGCGAGCGUUAUCCGGAUUUAUUGGGUUUAAAGGGUGCGCAGGCGGGAGGUCAAGUCAGCGGUAAAAUGUCGGGGCUCAACCCCGGGCGGCCGGUGAAACUGGUUUU
rnacentral:rRNA from 1 species